AAGAAUCCUAAGUUAACUGUAACCCUAAAAGUUGGGGCUGCAGAGAAUCCUAUAAAGGGAACUCUAACCCUAGACAUUUCUCACUCUAAGCAUACUGUGAGGACUCUGCACUUUCCGCCACCACAGGAAAACCCAAGCAAAGAAAUUCAGGUUUUGAGAUCACAAACUCUACAUAGAGAAGAAAUGAAAAAGAAGAAGAAAAGAAAAGGAAGAGAAAAGAUUGUUCCUCUAUUGAGUUGGAUCAUCGGUAUAAGCGUACUCGGAAUCAGCCAUAAAAUCACAAAUCCAGAUUUGGAUGUGAUGCAGCUUGGAGACUACAUCCAUAUUUUUGGCUCAAUGACUCGGUAGCUUUUGAAGUGAUUGAGUACCUAGUGAGCUGGUGGUAUUUCUAGGUGUAUCUUUCCAAAAAUUGUGAUGUUGAAGCAGGAAGCACUGGAUUGGGUGAGUGCACCGAUCCAAAGGGAACGAACCCAGGAAGAUUUUCACUUCAAUUUGAGUUUUGGAAGCUGAUCUAAAAAUGAAAAUGGAGGUGAAAAAGAUGAAUUCUCUGAAAUCCAAGGCUUCCUGUCUAAGCGAUUGUGGGCUUCAACCACCACAGAAUCGGAAUCAAAUGGAGAAAAUGUGAAAUUCAGAAAGGAAUUGGGUACCACCAAAGAUGAUCUUCAAUUGGCAUAGAAGAGUUCGACUUACAGUUUCACUAUAAGGUUCGAGGAGAAGCUAAUUAUACACACAUCUGAAGACAUAUAUAUAUAUCUAAAGGUUCGUGGUUGUCGUCAUGAGGAUAAUACUAAUCAGAAACAAGCGAAGGAAAUAGCAUGAUUGAGACAAACAUAUCCUGGAUUGACCAAGAUGCUUAAUGCUGCUUUGGCAAGUGAAGGCUCGAGGAGAAGCUAAUUAUACAGUACUCCUGAAGAGAUUUAUCUAAAGGUUAGGGGUCCUUGUCGUAGAAGGGGCUGUUAGGACAAGCCAUUUAGGCUAAUGCUAAAGCAGAAGCGGCGAACAUUAAAGUUAAAGUAGAAGCACAAGUAGCAGGUGAAGAAUGUUAAGGAGAAAUGAGCAUAGCAUUACAUUAAGUAUAUAAGAUGUCUAAUUAAAAUUGAUUGAUCCAUAAGCAGAAGGAACGGAGAUUUGUCUUCUUUACAUGGUUCCUACAACUGCAGAGUGGAAAUCCUCUUCGUCGUUCAAUUGCUUUGCCGAUCCAAAGUCGGCUAUCUUGGAAGUAAGAUGGUUGUCUUGUAGAACAUUCAACAUCGGCAGGCUUUAUAUAUCUCUAUGCACAAUUUUGCAUUCGGUUCCCCCAUGUAAAAUACAAGAUUCUGCGCUAUACACAAUGCAAAUUAUAACUUGAAGUCUCCUAAUGCGGUCUUUCCUUAAGAUUUGUAUUGAAGAACCUUGGCAUAAAUUAAUCAAGUUAGGAAGGAAAUGAAAUAACAAUUUCAAUAAUAUAGUUCAGUUUUGGCAUGGUCACGUUACCCA